CUGUCACAGCGAAACUACAGCCAUAAUGCUCUUGUCGUCAUAUGCGACCGAGCGCCAUCGGCAUCAAUUCGGAAUAUGCUUUUAACUUGUAAACGUCUGUUGGUCUCUUGGCGUGUAGAAUGCAAGACGCAGUCUGGUAAAUUACAUGUUUUUUCCUGCCUUUACAGCUUUUCUGACAGUAUAAAAAUGUUAACGUCUUUGCAUUUACGUAGCGAGGUGGUCCGCUAUGCAUUUUGUUCCUGAACCCGUGCACGAGCUCUGUUACGACAAAGGUAAGCGCCGUGUUUUGGAUGCUUGAUCCUCAAGUCCCAAGUGCGAUCCAAAAUGUGUACUAGUGACCCGAUAUAUAUCCAUAGUUCUCUGAACUGCCCUCAUGACGUGCCAUCAUCCCGCUUGCACUGGACGGACUUGCUUUGUCGGACAAUUAAAUGAGAAAGUGCUACUGAUAAGUGACGUUCGUGAUUUCGCAUAUGCAUGUAUCAGACUUUGCCUGCCUCAAAUUGUGUGACACAUUAUCUCCUUAUAGUGUUGUCACUGUUGCUGCAUGUACACUGGAGAUUUGUAGUAUAUCUGUUUUCAUACCUGUUAGUGUGGAUCUACUUUCUGCGCUUGGAUCAGACAUUAAUGGACGCAGAUGGGUGUUUUCACUGUUUUCGCUUCCUUCUUCGUGCACAUUCCUUUCUGUUAAACGUGUUUGCAUACACUGAGAAAAAUUUCUCUGUUGUUGUUAACAGGAAAGUGCUGAAAAAAAAUAGUCCAGGAGUCCUGUUAACUCCGUUCACUCACUUGGAAGGAUUUCUUUCUACAGUUUAAUCGCACGACUGGAGACAAGUCGCAACUCGCCACUCCGGAGUCAACGAACACGUACGAACACCAGUGACAACCUGGCGUGACAACCUGGGAACACCUGACGUACGAACACCAGUGACAGCGUCUACUUUUCGCCUGCGGGGUGACAGGUACAAUUCUCACACUUUGAGGGAUGUUUGCCUUCUACUGUUAGUUCUACCGCGAGUACCCGCACCCUCCUCUUCGAAUCAGCUUCGUCGUCCUUACUGAUUGUGCCUGUCUCAUGGCACUGAACAUGGACCACAAUGAGGCAUGCUCCAUCCACGGUACCAGGAGCACCGGAAAACCCGGAAGAGAGCCUGAGAGCGUCGUCGCCAGUCAUCGAGUGAUCGUGGAACAAAGAGCAAGUCCUUCGUGCACGCGCAUAUAAUCAAGAAUAAGAGUUCUAGUCCAGA